rnacentral:rRNA from 1 species
AAUUUUGGACAAUGGGGGAAACCCUGAUCCAGCCAUCCCGCGUGUAUGAUGAAGGCCUNCGGGUUNUNAAGUACUUUUGGCAGAGNCGAGAAGGUAUCUCCUAAUACGAGAUACUGCUGACGGUAUCUGCAGGAUAAGCACCGGCUAACUACGUGCCAGCGGCCGCGGUAAUACGUAGGGUGCAAGCGUUAACCGGAAUUACUGGGCGUCAAGCGUGUGUAGGCGGUUCGGAGAGAAGGAGGUGAAAUCCCAGGGCUCAACCGUGGAACUGCAUUUUUAACUGCCGAGCUAGAGUAUGUCAGAGGGGGGUAGAAUUCCACGUGUAGCAGUGAAAUGCGUAGAUAUGUGGAGGAAUACCGAUGGCGAAGGCAGCCCCCUGGGAUAAUACUGACGCUCAGACACGAAAGCGUGGGGAGCAAACA